CAAAAAUAUAAUUUUUUUUUUCGUCUUGUAUUGGAUGAUGGUGAUGUACAACCUCACCUGGAGUACCAAUUGGAGGGCAAGUCUGGUGCCAGCAGCCGCGGUAAUUCCAGCUCCAAUAGCGUAUAUUAAACUUGUUGCAGUUAAAAAGCUCGUAGUUGUAUUUCAGCCUCGCGUUUUUUCCCUGGUUUUGGGUCUUUUCGCUGGCUUUUUUUUUACUUUGAGAAAAUUAUCGUGUUUCAAGCCAACUUUUGUCUUGAAUACUUCAGCAUGGAAUAAUAUAGUAGGACCUUGGUUCUAUUUUGUUGGUUUUGAGCCUUGGUUAUGGUUAAUAGGAACGGUUGGGGGCAUUCGUAUUUUGACUGUCAGAGGUGAGAUUCUCAGAU
rnacentral:rRNA from 1 species